rnacentral:lncRNA from 1 species
GAUCUUGAGCACCCUUGGUCCAAUUGCAAUCAACUCCUUGAUCCAUCUCCAUUGACGUGCAAGUCGUGCUUGUAUAGGUAUGCAUCGAUCAACCAUUGACGUCCAAACACAUCACAGAUUAUAACCCAGAUAACUAUGAAAAUAAAACAAUAGUUACAUCCCUUUUUCAUGAGACACGCAGAUCUCUAAUACAUCGAUUUAAGAUGCACGCAGGCAUCUGAAUUUCU